ACAACAACCAUUCCAUGGUGUUCGGCCGGCUGGGGAACGUCCGCGCCGCUAUAUAUCCACACGGCAUGGUCGCCCGGAUCAUCUCCCCUAUCUUCGCGCGCGCGCCUUCUUCCACCAUCCGAAGAACCCAACUGCAUCCUAACAGCUCGCGCGUGAUUCCGGUCGAUUCCUCCGUACUAGUCCGUUCAACCAAAUCCAUGGUGGCUACACCUUCCACCGUGUUUUCCUCUCGCCUCUGCUAGCCGCAACAGAUUCUUCCCCUUUAAAUAGCUGGGAUCGGACCUCUCGCUUUGCCUCGACCGUCUCUUGGGCGCUGGGCGUCACCGCCACCAUUGGGGUAGUCACACCGAACUCCAUCAAAGAGAGAGAAAGGACCAAGCUCGCCGGUGACCUUCGGGUUCGCCGCUGGUGCAAUCGACGUUGGUGCGCACGGCUCCCUCGGCUGGCGCGAUUGGGAGCUAGGGUGCACGCGAUUUCUCGCCGGUGCUCCUACUCCGCCGCAAACCCGCUGUCCGCCGUGGAACAACUUUGUGGCCGCCUAAACCUUCGCGUGAGGUCACGAGGAUCCGAAGGAUCAUCCUGGUACCUGGAAUCUCAAGUCCCAGGCAAGUUGUGCCCUUGAUCACUUCUUUUUACCCACUCAUGUUUUAAUUAAUCAUAAUGAUCUGCAUAGGUUAAUUUUGAUGGGACCCAAUAGGUUACCCUAGUUUGUUUAUCCUGUUUACCUUGUUUACCCCUGAAUCAAUUGGGUAGUUAUGCUAUUGCUUUAUAUGGUUUUUGGGUUAAUAUUUCAUUACAUCCAUGUUCCAAUUAUUCUGUUAUGUUAUUUAUGUUCAUGAUAAGAUCAUUAUGUUAAUUGGAACAUGGAGCGACCACCCGGGAAAACAGUGCUACCACAAGGGUUUAAUGGGACGCCCUUGGCUGAUUAACUAGGAAAGCUAGUGGAGGUCUUCCUUACCCGAAAGGGGCAAGGGCAGUAGGGGAGUGGUCAGUGUAGGGAGGCCCUCGGGAGGAUUUUGCUGCGAUGGCGGUCCUGCAAGGGAUUCCUGCAUUGGAGCUUCCUAUAAACUGUAGCGGGAUUUCUGAAGCUAGUGGAACUUUGUAAAGGCCUCGUAGUGUUACCCUGCCUCGCCUCCUCGGUAGAGGUGUAUGAGACUCAUGACCCCUUGGCAGGUGGGUAACACGACUUGUGGGUAAAGAUGCGCAACCUCUGCAGAGUGUAAAACUAGUAUACUAGCCGUGCUCAUGGUCAUGAGCGGCUCGGACCCUCACAUAAUUAAUUUAUGGAACCUAAAUUCAAUUUGUCAUUUGCAUUUGCAUGGGAUUAUUUAUUAAUUUUGUUCUAUUACUUUUAUUAAGGUUUGGUAUUUACUUACACCUAGUAAUUGCUAAUAAAAGUUUGACCAACAUUAAAAGCAAUGCUCAGCUUUAACCAUUUUCUUUGAUAAGCCUUACACUUCAUGAGCUCUCACCUUUGGCGAGUUCAUGCACAUUAUUCCCCACAACUUGUUGAGCGAUGAACGUAUGUGAGCUCACUCUUGCUGUCUCACACCCCCCACAAGAGAAGAACAGGUGGUUCAAGAGGAGCCAUAACGAGGAGUUCGAUUCGAUCUAGGUGGCGUCUCCCAGUUGACUUUCUGGCGCCAAGGAUGGAUUUUAGAUCCUGCUAUAUUUAUCAUUUAUUUUGUAAGACUUCCGCUAUGUAAUAAGUGCUCUGAUUAUUGUGACAUUUAUCUCUAUACACUCUGUGAUUAUAUAUGUUGUCUUCUUUGGCGCAUGUAUGAGAUGCACCCGACUUUGUCCGCUAAAACCGGGUGUUACAGUUAAAAUCUAGCAUAGUAGAAGAAGGUCUCUGAGCUGAUGUUUCUCGGAUCAGAUACCCACCCGUAUGGUCGCUAGUCUGAUGUCCCUCGGUUGUUUGGAAGCAAAGGGUACAUAUAGAGGAUUGGAGGGGAUAUAAUUACUUUGCUAUUUAAAUUUGAAUGACAACGAGAUUUUAGCCUCUUCAA